CACGGGGGGAGCAAGCGUUGUUCGGAAUCAUUGGGCGUAAAGCGUGUGUAGGCUGCCAAAUAAGUCAGUUGUGAAAGCCCCGGGCUCAACCCGGGAAGUGCUUCUGAUACUGUUUGGCUUGAGUACUAGAGAGGAUAGUAGAAUUCCAGGUGUAGUGGUGAAAUACGUAGAUAUCUGGAGGAAUACCGGUGGCGAAGGCGGCUAUCUGGCUAGGUACUGACGCUGAGACACGAAAGCGUGGGGAGCAAACAGG
rnacentral:rRNA from 1 species